GAUGAACGCUGGCGGCGUGCCUAAUACAUGCAAGUCGAGCGAACAGACGAGGAGCUUGCUCCUCUGACGUUAGCGGCGGACGGGUGAGUAACACGUGGAUAACCUACCUAUAAGACUGGGAUAACUUCGGGAAACCGUAGCUAAUACCGGAUAACAUGUUGAACCGCAUGGUUCAACAGUGAAAGACGGUCUUUCUUGCACUUGUAGAUGGAUCCUCGCCGCAUUAGCUAGUUGGUAAGGUAACGGCUUACCAAGGCAACGAUGCGUAGCCGACCUGAGAGGGUGAACGGGCCCACUGGAACUGAGCGACGGUCCAGAGUCCUACGGGAGGCAGAAGUAGGGACUCUUCCGAAAUGGGCGAAAGACUGACGGAGCAACGACGCGUGAAUGCAGCAGGUCUUCGGAUCGUAAAACUCUGUUAUUAGGGAAGAACAAAUGUGUAAGUAAAUAUGCACGUAUUGACGGUACCUAAACAGAAAGCCACGGCUAACUACGUG
rnacentral:rRNA from 1 species